GAGGGUAUAGCUCAAGUGGUAGAGUGCAUGCUUAGCAUGCACAAAAUCCUGGGUUCAAUACCCAGUACCUCUC
rnacentral:tRNA from 1 species